UUCAAAUUAAAAACAAGCACAGUUGCUAAUGUAUUUAUUUUAAUACUUUCAAGCAGCUGGGUUGCCAUUCUCCAAUGACCCGAAAUGCAGAUGCAUAACACAAACAUCUGCUAAAAUCAACCCAAAGACCUUCGAUCGCAUUGAGAUGAUUCCCAGAGGAGCGCGCUGUGGCAAGGUGGAGAUAAUAGUCACCUUGAAAAACAAACACAUUGUCUGUGUGAACCCUGAAGCAAAAUGGAUCCAACAUGUUAUUAAGGGCCUUAUACAGAGAAGAAACACCAACGAGCAACUGGAGCAGCACUGAAGCAAAUACAAAAGCAUGAAGAGACAUCAUUUUGUUCCCUGAUACUGCAGAACAAUCUACUUCUUUUAAUGAUC